rnacentral:rRNA from 1 species
GAUUAUAUUUUAUUUAUUAAUUUAAAUUAUUUUAAUGAAAAUAUUAGAAAUAACUAUAAAUUUUAAAGUUUUAGUAUUGUUUAAAGAAAAAAUAAUUUUAAUAAUAGUUUAUUAGUAUUGUAAAAGAAAAUUGAAAUAAUUUGAAAAAAUUUUAUUAUAAAAGAAAAUUUAAUUUAUUGUACCUUGUGUAUCAGCGUUUAUUAAAUAAAAAAUAAAUAUUUAUUUUUCUCGAUUUUAAAAGAGUUAAUAUAAUAUAUAAGUUAAUGUGACAAAAUUAUUUAAAAUAUUAUAUUAGAAAUGAAAUGUUAUUCGUUUUUAAAGGUAUCUAGUUUUUUAAGAAAUAAAUUUAAUUUAGAAAUUAUAAAUUUAUUUAUUUAAUUUUAUUAAUUAAAUAAUUUAUAAUUUUAAUAUUUUAUGGGAUAAGCUAUAAAAUAAAUUUUUAAAAAUAAUAAAUAAAUUUGAUAAAUAUAUGCUUAGAAUUAGCAAUUAUUAAAAAGUGUGUUAUAAUUUAUUUUAUAAAUUAAAUUAUUUAUUAAAUUUUAAUUAUUUAUUAAAAUAUUAAUUUUAAUAUUUAAAAUUAAGUAAUAAUGAUAGAAUUAGUAUAUUAUAUUGUUUAAAUAAAUUUUUAUGAAAAGUUUAAAUAAAGAAUUCGGCAAAAAUAAUGUUCGCCUGUUUAACAAAAACAUGUCUUUUUGAAUUAUAUAUAAAGUCUAACCUGCCCACUGAAAUUUCUUAAAUGGCCGCAGUAUUUUGACUGUGCAAAGGUAGCAUAAUCAUUAGUCUUUUAAUUGAAGGCUGGAAUGAAUGGUUGGACGAAAUAUUAACUGUUUCAUUUAAAUUUUUUUUAGAAUUUUAUUUUUUAGUCAAAAAGCUAAAAUUUAUUUAAAAGACGAGAAGACCCUAUAAAUCUUUAUAUUUUGUUUAUUUUAAUUAUAAAGAUUAAUUUAAUUUUAAUAAAUUAAAAUAUUUUAUUGGGGUGAUAUUAAAAUUUAAAAAACUUUUAAUUUUUAAAAACAUUAAUUUAUGAAUAAUUGAUCCAUUAAUAAUGAUUAAAAAAUUAAGUUACUUUAGGGAUAACAGCGUAAUUUUUUUGGAGAGUUCAUAUCGAUAAAAAAGAUUGCGACCUCGAUGUUGGAUUAAGAUAUAAUUUUGGGUGUAGCCGUUCAAAUUUUAAGUCUGUUCGACUUUUAAAUUCUUACAUGAUCUGAGUUCAAACCGGUGUAAGCCAGGUUGGUUUCUAUCUUUAAAAAAUUAUAAUAUUUUAGUACGAAAGGACCAAAUAUUAAAAUAAUUAUAUUUUUAAAUAUGAAUAUUAUUAAUAUAAAACUAUUUUGGCAGAUUAGUGCAAUAAAUUUAGAAUUUAUUUA